rnacentral:lncRNA from 1 species
AGGCUUAGAAAUGGGCGCAGAGUCAGCCAAUCAAGGGCGGGAAAACUAGGAGGGUUGAAAAUAGGGCGCAUGCGCAAUAGCAGAAGCAGCGGGCGGGUCCAGGCACAGCCGCCAGCCAGGCUGCACCGGGCUGUGGCAGCCACGGGUAGGGGCGGAGCCCGCCGUAUAUGGGAGCUGCUUGGGGACAAACUGUGUAGGGUGCGCUCUCGGGCGGGCAGGGCUUCAACACCCAACCAGUUGUAGAGUCGCUGCGUGCGACAACCAAGAACAGCAGCCUACACGUGUUCAUAAUCCUCUGAUUCCAACACCACCUUGCGAUUUGACAUAACUGUCAAAGUGCUGCGGCCCACGGAAUACAAACAGCAAGCCUGCGGAUUUUAAACUAGAAGCAGCGAGGUUUCUCGCCAGAGAAAUGACUGAACAGCCACCCCUUGAUUAAUUUACUCUCUGCACCUAGAAAAAAGAAUAAACAGGAAGGUUUUAAAGGCC